rnacentral:lncRNA from 1 species
CAAAAUGAGGUUAUCAUUAUGCUGUUAUCAAGUGUUUAAUGGGUAUGGUAGGAUCCAAUGAUUAGAGAUUAUAUAUGGAUUAUAUAUGGAUUUUCUUUUCUCAGAUAAAACUCACCUAAAGCUGUGAUUUCUGAUCUUUAAGAACCUAAGUCUCAACUGUAAUUUGUACUCUGCAGGGUACUUAGCUUCUUAUAAAAAACAUAACUCUGUGGAGACUUUCAAGGAGGAACAACCAGAUUUCAUCACAUUAUUUUCCAGCUGGAUGUGAAGGCAAAGGGUAGCCUAGAAGCUUCUGGCCAAGGAUGAAAAAACCCCUGUCAAUCUGCUUUCCUGAAGGAUCAGCCAGGUUGUCUUCUAAAUCAAGAGCUUUAGCAGACACGUACGAGUGGCAUUGCUGUGACACAUCAUGGAGAGGAUUCGGCUGUAUCCUGGUCUCAUAAAGGAAAGGGUGACAAAGGAGGUGAGCCAUGGGAGAAAAGAUCCCAGGGAGAUCUCCAAUUUUAAAAUAGAGAGUGUAUUAUGGAUUCUAAAUUCCUUCAAACAAACACAGUAGGACUCUGAAGGAUUUGUGGACUUUCAAAGUGGAAUUGGGCCCCAGGAAUACAGGAUUUUAAAACCCCAGAGGGGAUACAGAGAUUUAACUCAACAUUGGUAAGCUACUGUCAGUAUCAAAAUGUCACUUACUCCUGAAUAUUCUCUUCCUCACACUUAACCUCCUGGAGGCCUGCAAUCUACUGAUCAAAUACUUAGAAUUCAUAACAGAAGUUGAAAACUGAUUCCAACAAUUAAAAUUUACCAAUCACCCAUGAAUUCAUUCUUUCCUCCUUACUUUCUCACUCCCAACCAAUAUGGCACAUCCCAUUAAUUAGCUAGAAGGUUGUGCUUUCCUCAUGAUAAAAAUGAUCAAAGUGACUGAAAAAAAAAACAAAAAAACCCCAAAAAGCCAAAUGAGUUUUACUUUGUUUAUUUGUAUGGCAGAAGAGUCCAGUUACUUGGCAUGAGUACCUCAGAUUAUCAUUCAUCC